GACGAACGCUGGCGGCGUGCUUAACACAUGCAAGUCGAACGGAAAGGCCCUGCUUUUGUGGGGUGCUCGAGUGGCGAACGGGUGAAUAACACGUGAGUAACCUGCCCUUGACUUUGGGAUAACUUCAGGAAACUGGGGCUAAUACCGGAUAGGAGCUCCUGCUGCAUGGUGGGGGUUGGAAAGUUUCGGCGGUUGGGGAUGGACUCGCGGCUUUUCAGCCUGUUGGUGGGGUAGUGGCUUACCAAGGCUUUGACGGGUAGCCGGCCUGAGGGGGUGAACGGCCACAUUGGGACUGAGAUACGGCCCAGACUCCAACGGGAGGCAGCAGUGGGGAAUAUUGCACAAUGGGCGGAAGCCUGAUGCAGCAACGCCGCGUGCGGGAUGACGGCCUUCGGGUUGUAAACCGCUUUCGCCUGUGACGAAGCGUGAGUGACGGUAAUGGGUAAAGAAGCACCGGCUAACUACGUG
rnacentral:rRNA from 1 species